CAUAGACCCGGUCCUAUAAACAAAUAGAAAAGGAUAUAUCCAUCAGCAACCUAAUUUGAUGUAAAAUCUCCCAAAAAAAUCGAUGCAUCUUGAAAAAUCAAUGUAAGGUUCGUUUUCAGUUCACUUGGCUGAAAUUGAUGCUUUCCUCUUCCUUUUAGAAAGGUACUUCUUCUUCUCCAAUUUCCUAAAAAUGCUUUCUUUACUGCUAAAAUUUGUAGUCGAUGGAAUGGAAGGGGGUAAAAGGGAUGAUUAAUCCCAAAAAGCUAUCGAGAUUAGAGUUUACUGAAGAAGGUUGAAGAAAUGAAGUUUAUUUCUUCCCAGGAAGUUGAAAACGUUCUGAUUUUAGAGAAGAAAAUUAAGAUAUUAAAAGUUGUUAUUUGCACGUUAUGUGCUUUGUUCUUAACGUAUAUUUCAGGAAUCAUGAAGUGAAUGUACAUUCGUGUCUAUGCUAGAACUUAUGUUGAAGUAAAUCCAUUUUUCUAGUUGUAAUGAAGUUGAAGUAUUAUUUGUACCACGACUGCGUGCCUCCCAUCGUUCAUCGUGAUUUCAAGGCUCAAAACCUUUUAUUAGGAAAUAGUUACGAGCCAUGUUUAGCUUAUUUUGGACUUGCUAGACUCGUCGAGGAGGGAAAUACCUCAAUUUCAGCAAAUCUUCAAUUUGCUAGAUCUUAUGGCUACUUUGCUCCAGAUUUUCAAUGGGUUUUUCUUCAAUAUCAACAUUGGUAUCAGGGAAAAGAACUCAAGUUCCGAAACCUGCAAGAACAUCGAUGAGGAAUAAGUCGAAAUCAAGUGUAAUUAUUGACGGCGAAUUUAAUGAAACGAUAGAAUACGCUUGUAUGCUAAAGAUAACAGAGAAGAGUGAUGUUUUUAGCUUCAAAGUUUUGUUUCUAGAAAUUAUUACUGGGAAAAAUCCAGCUUACCCGUCCUUCCCUGAUAGCCAACACGUUAUACAAUGGGUUUGCGACCAUCUAAAGAGAAAGAAAGAUCUAGUUGAUGUGAUUGAUCCAAGGUUAUAAGGACAUCCUGAUACAUAAAUUCAAGAAAUGCUUCAAGCCCUUGGAAUAGCCUCGUUGUGUACUAGUAAUCGGGAUGAAGAUCGACCAACGAUAAAAGAUUAGUGGCAUUACUCAAGGAGAUUAUGCAUGAGCAUACAACCGGAAGUGAAGCAAUUUUGACGUUAUCCCUCGUACCAAACAACCCCUAAAGGUAUUUAGGCACAUUAUGCCAUUGUUUAAAUAAAUCAUUAAUAUCCAUGUUGGGCACAAUAUUUUUACACUUUUGUUUUUGGUGACAAAUUUGAUCCAUAGGACUAAGGGUGGAAAGAUACUACAAGUAAUGCAAGAAUACUUCAAAUUGUUUUAGUACCUUUCACCAAGUAGUAACUGUUACUUUUAUUGUUUUUCC